UUGCUGCACAUUGAAGGCCUUGACAAUUUGAAGACUGAUUCUUUUGGCUUCACUUUCAAUACUGUAAUCCUCACAUCUCCUCCAACCACCACUCCUGAUCAAUAAAGCAUAUUGAUAUC